rnacentral:lncRNA from 1 species
AAGAAAGACCUAGAGCUGAAGGUAGAGAAGACACUAAGAAUCACCUUCUGCAGAUCUGUUCCACCCUACACACGAGGACUGCUAGGAAAACUUGAAGCCUGUGGUACAUGGAAGUUGAAGAUAGCAGUUUAAUGGACUGAAGGAGAAGAAAUGACAACCGAGACUCAAAUAUACUGAGGAGUUUCAUCACUUCUUCUCGAUUGAGA